AUAAAGAAUAGUAGUACCUGUACCUACUGUACUGCAAAAGGCGGACCCAUGUUUUACUGGGAUGUUUCAAUAUUUGCUGUUUUGUAGUAAGAGGCGUAUGAAUUGCAUUUUUAGAUGGCCUUCAUUGCAUUUACUGCACUGUGUGAGUAGCUUCUCGGCUUCUUUUGAUCUUUCUCGCGCUCACCUUGAUGGAAUCUCACUACUACAGAGCUCAAUAUUUACAUGUCCAUGAAGUGCUGCAGAACAAUAUUUGUGGACUCGUGUUUGAUAAAUAUCUCUGUGCUCAAGAUAGAUACAAUAUACUAAUUUGUACGGCUACUGAUUUGCAUACUUUGUCCUACUGUAACCUGCCCUGCGGUCGCCAUUCCUUGCUUACCUCUAGACGUGCGGACCAGCGGGUUUGGGCUCUCCCGGCACAGAGGCGCAUGCGCGCCAAGCGAAUCUUCGCUCACUGCCUCCACAGUUGACGCAUGCGCUUCAAUAAUCGGAUGCCUGUGUCCAAAUUGGACGCUGAUUGUUUAAUCUCCCUCACCAUUGGUUCCUAUUGCUGCCUAUCUUGCCUAUCUCCCCUCCCAUUGGUCCUUCUGCCUUUAAAUAGCUGCUUCCUUUUUCCACCUUUGCCCAAAAUGGUUCCAGUUUUACUGUUCCUGCCAAAGCGUUUGUUUGUGACUUGACUUCCUGGUUUUGACUUCUGCCCGACCCUUGACUACGAUCUCUGCCUCCUGUCUUGAACUCUUCAACUGACUUUGACUUCGUCUUCUCUAACUCCCUGUUGGUACCUCUCUUACGGACUUGUUUCGUGCUUCCUUGUUGGCUUCCACAGCAGAAAGCCCGGGCCCCAAAAGGGCGUCAGUGAACACCGGACUUUCUGUGUUUUAUAGAAUACUAGACAUUAAGCCCGUUAAAUUAACGGGCGCUAGAACAUAUGUAG